rnacentral:rRNA from 1 species
GAGCGGCGGAUGGGUGAGUAACACGUGGGGAACCUGCCCCAUAGUCUAGGAUACCACUUGGAAACAGGUGCUAAUACCGGAUAAUAAAGCAGAUCGCAUGAUCAGCUUAUAAAAGGCGGCGUAAGCUGUCGCUAUGGGAUGGCCCCGCGGUGCAUUAGCUAGUUGGUAAGGUAACGGCUUACCAAGGCAAUGAUGCAUAGCCGAGUUGAGAGACUGAACGGCCACAUUGGGACUGAGACACGGCCCAAACUCCUACGGGAGGCAGCAGUAGGGAAUCUUCCACAAUGGACGCAAGUCUGAUGGAGCAACGCCGCGUGAGUGAAGAAGGUUUUCGGAUCGUAAAGCUCUGUUGUUGGUGAAGAAGGAUAGAGGUAGUAACUGGCCUUUAUUUGACGGUAAUCAACCAGAAAGUCACGGCUAACUACGUGCCAGCAGCCGCGGUAAUACGUAGGUGGCAAGCGUUGUCCGGAUUUAUUGGGCGUAAAGCGAGCGCAGGCGGAAGAAUAAGUCUGAUGUGAAAGCCCUCGGCUUAACCGAGGAAUUGCAUCGGAAACUGUUUUUCUUGAGUGCAGAAGAGGAGAGUGGAACUCCAUGUGUAGCGGUGGAAUGCGUAGAUAUAUGGAAGAACACCAGUGGCGAAGGCGGCUCUCUGGUCUGCAACUGACGCUGAGGCUCGAAAGCAUGGGUAGCGAACAGGAUUAGAUACCCUGGUAGUCCAUGCCGUAAACGAUGAGUGCUAAGUGUUGGGAGGUUUCCGCCUCUCAGUGCUGCAGCUAACGCAUUAAGCACUCCGCCUGGGGAGUACGACCGCAAGGUUGAAACUCAAAGGAAUUGACGGGGGCCCGCACAAGCGGUGGAGCAUGUGGUUUAAUUCGAAGCAACGCGAAGAACCUUACCAGGUCUUGACAUCUAGUGCCAUCCUAAGAGAUUAGGAGUUCCCUUCGGGGACGCUAAGACAGGUGGUGCAUGGCUGUCGUCAGCUCGUGUCGUGAGAUGUUGGGUUAAGUCCCGCAACGAGCGCAACCCUUAUUAUUAGUUGCCAGCAUUAAGUUGGGCACUCUAAUGAGACUGCCGGUGACAAACCGGAGGAAGGUGGGGAUGACGUCAAGUCAUCAUGCCCCUUAUGACCUGGGCUACACACGUGCUACAAUGGGCAGUACAACGAGAAGCGAGCCUGCGAAGGCAAGCGAAUCUCUGAAAGCUGUUCUCAGUUCGGACUGCAGUCUGCAACUCGACUGCACGAAGCUGGAAUCGCUAGUAAUCGCGGAUCAGAACGCCGCGGUGAAUACGUUCCCGGGCCUUGUACACACCGCCCGUCACACCAUGGAAGUCUGCAAUGCCCAAAGCCGGUGGCCUAACCUUCGGGAAGGAGCCGUCUAAGGCAGGGCAGAUGACUGGGGUGAAGUCGUAACAAGGUAGCCGUAGGAGAACCUGCGGCUGGAUCACCUCCUUU